AGAAUCAACGCUGGCGGCGCGCUUAACACAUGCAAGUCGAGCGAGAAAGGGGAGCAAUCCCUGAGUAAAGCGGCGUACGGGUGGGUAACACGUGGAUAAUCUACCUUUUAGUGGGGAAUAACUCUGGGAAACCGGAGCUAAUACCGCAUAAUCCUGUGAGGGGAAAGCAGCAAUGCGCUGAAAGAGGAGUCCGCGGCCGAUUAGCUAGUUGGUAGGGUAAUGGCCUACCAAGGCGAUGAUCGGUAGCCGGCCUGAG
rnacentral:rRNA from 1 species